AUUGAACGCUGGCGGCAUGCCUUACACAUGCAAGUCGAACGGCAGCACGGACUUCGGUCUGGUGGCGAGUGGCGAACGGGUGAGUAAUAUAUCGGAACAUACCUUGUAGUGGGGGAUAACUAUCCGAAAGGAUAGCUAAUACCGCAUACGCUCUAAGGAGGAAAGCGGGGGAUCGUAAGACCUCGUGCUAUAAGAGUGGCCGAUAUCUGAUUAGCUAGUUGGUGAGGUAAAGGCUCACCAAGGCGACGAUCAGUAGCUGGUCUGAGAGGACGACCGGCCACACUGGAACUGAGACACGAUCCAGACUCCUACGGGAGGCAGCAGUGGGGAAUUUUGGACAAUGGGGGCAACCCUGAUCCAGCAAUGCCGCGUGAGUGAAGAAGGCCUUCGGGUUGUAAAGCUCUUUUGUCAGGGAAGAAACGGUUGUGGCUAAUAUCCAUGGCUAAUGACGGUACCUGAAGAAUAAGCACCGGCUAACUACGUGCCAGCCGCCGCAGUAAUAC
rnacentral:rRNA from 1 species